GGGAGCAAACAGGAUUAGAUACCCUGGUAGUCCACGCUGUAAACGAUGUCGAUUUGAAGGUUGUUCCCUUGAGGAGUGGCUUUCGGAGCUAACGCGUUAAAUCGACCGCCUGGGGAGUACGGCCGCAAGGUUAAAACUCAAAUGAAUUGACGGGGGCCCGCACAAGCGGUGGAGCAUGUGGUUUAAUUCGAUGCAACGCGAAGAACCUUACCUACUCUUGACAUCCAGAGAAUUUAGCAGAGAUGCUUUAGUGCCUUCGGGAACUCUGAGACAGGUGCUGCAUGGCUGUCGUCAGCUCGUGUUGUGAAAUGUUGGGUUAAGUCCCGCAACGAGCGCAACCCUUAUCCUUUGUUGCCAGCGAUUCGGUCGGGAACUCAAAGGAGACUGCCGGUGAUAAACCGGAGGAAGGUGGGGAUGACGUCAAGUCGUCAUGGCCCUUACGAGUAGGGCUACACACGUGCUACAAUGGCGUAUACAAAGAGAAGCGACCUCGCGAGAGCAAGCGGAACUCAUAAAGUACGUCGUAGUCCGGAUUGGAGUCUGCAACUCGACUCCAUGAAGUCGGAAUCGCUAGUAAUCGUAGAUCAGAAUGCUACGGUGAAUACGUUCCCGGGCCUUGUACACACCGCCCGUCACACCAUGGGAGUGGGUUGCAAAAGAAGUAGGUAGCUUAACCUUCGGGAGGGCGCUUACCACUUUGUGAUUCAUGACUGGGGUGAAGUCGUA
rnacentral:rRNA from 1 species